CGUCACCGAGGACUGGUCGUGAUUCCGUCUCCCGGGGCAACUCGGAGAUCCUACACAUGUGGAUCAUCUUCUGCAGUGAGCCCCUGCCCACUGUCCAGUGUAGAUAGUCUGAGAGUAGAAAAGGGCAGAAGGCCAUUACAGGGCUGAAGGAGGAGGGAGUCGGGACAAAGCCCACGGCUGCCGACACAGGGAGAGCGAAGGCUGACCUCACACGUGAACUGGCCCAGCACAGCUGGAGAUGUGGAGGCUUUGAAAGCAAGCCAAGAUCAGCAGAUUCUCGGAGACCGCUCAGCGAUGAAGAACGAGAGCUGCUGUGCUACUCUACACAUUUUGUAGCUGCGCCAUGGAGGAAGUAGCUGAAACCAACGGGUCGGACCACUUUCCCAGCGGCCUGCAGAGAGCUGAGCCAGAGCAAGGAAGGAAGUCAGAGACCACCUCGCUGCCUAGCAAUGACCAACACGCCACCAGCUCCAGUCCAGAAACCAACGCACCCCCGUCCUCUUCGCUCCGUGGCUCUGCCCAACCACAGCAGACCACA